GUGUGUGUGUGUGUGUGUGUGUGUGUGUUACAGGCGGGGAGGUGUGUUGUGAAAGGGUGUUUGGGGUGACAGCUGUGGGAGGUGUGUUGUGAAAGGGUGUUUGGGGUGACAGCUGUGGGAGGUGUGUAGUGAAGGGGUGUUUGGGGUGACAGCUGUGGGAGGUGUGUAGUGAAGGGGUGUUUGGGGUGACAGCUGUGGGAGGUGUGUAGUGAAGGGGUGUUUGGGGUGACAGCUGUGGGAGGUGUGUAGUGAAGGGGUGUUUGGGGUGACAGCUGUGGGAGGUGUGUAGUGAAGGGGUGUUUGGGGUGACAGCUGUGGGAGGUGUGUAGUGAAGGGGUGUUUGGGGUGACAGCUGUGGGAGGUGUGUAGUGAAGGGGUGUUUGGGGUGACAGCUGUGGCCGGGUUAGUCUGCUUUACUUUACUUUACUUUACUUAUUUCGGUUUACUUUGCUAUAUUGUAUCCUUUAUAAUUUCCUCCGUAGCUGCGAGACAUGGACACUAAAUAGGGACCAGCGUUGUCGGAUAUUGUACGCAGAACGUCGUAUUUUCUGGUUUCUGACUCAUGACUAUCGCAAACAAACACCGAUAAUUACAGAUUUUAACGAAAACUAUAAAUAAAUAUCGUUAUUGGGGUGGAGAUGACAGUUUUUGGUAGGAAAUCGGCAAAUGUAAUCUAGUAACGUUAAUGGGAACAGGGAGAGGCAGACAGGGGCCUUUGGUAAUGUGUCCACGCUGAAUCACGGGGUGUCGCUGGAGUGACUACCAAGCCGGCGACCACUGUGAGACUGACUCGACAUAAAUUGAUUACGUUGCCUGCAUUUUGUGGAGGCGGCGGCUGAGUGGUUAGCGUGACUGUGUCCCGCCUGCAUAUUCCCGAAGUCUGUACGGGUAUGUGCCGCCUACUUUUGAACAGGGCAGGGUAGGUUAGGUUUGGUUAGGGUCUUUUAAGGUAAUUUGGUAAAUCUUAAGAAUAGUGGCUCCUAGUGGGUGCACAUUUAGGGCUAGCACGUAUGAUGGGGUUUUGACAAGCGGACAGAUGUGUUUAUGUCACAAGGGGUGUAUUUUUCCACGCUGGCCUCACAAUUUCUUCUAAGUUGAUGGGCGAUGAGACUGUGAGCACCAGGGUCUUCGUGGAUAACUAUCAACUUUUUCAGUACAGUUUUGUGUCUGGUGAAGGUCUCGUGCUGUCCCCAGGAAUUUUUUCAAGGGGGAGCAGAGCCAAUAUGUUCCAGGUCCUGUACAAAUACGUGUACUACAUCCUAUUUUAUGAUUGUUUUGGGCAGUGGCAUGGAUUUACCCAUAUUAAUAACUACAGCACCAAGCACCCUCCUGAGGUUUUGAAAAUAUUAAUUCUGUUAGAAGUUGCAAAUGAGAGUGAAUGGGACUCCAACAGAUUGCCUUGGCCCCCCAGAGAACCCAUAGUUUCAUGUGAUUUUAUACCUGCCCAAAUAGAUAAAUAUGUUUGGCUCACCUGCACAGCGAUAGACUUUACUGUUAUUUGCGAUGCAGUUAAACAGGUAACUCAUGAACAGGCUGACAGUGACACAUGACCUAUUUAUUCAGAGACAUCAUUAUAUACUUGUUGCUUGGCUAGUAUGUGCUGUCCACUGAUGCCCCUUUGACACUAUUUCCUGAACUGUCAUAUUUUUCACAUCCAUGUCUAUUCAUCAAGGGGACUGUUUGGAUAUAUGUUACUUUUUUUUUUUUAUACAGCAAAGGAGACUGAUCAAGGGCUUAAAAAAAAAUAAUAAUAAUAAUAAUGAAAAAAUAGCCCGCUACUUACUACCCCUAAAAAGAUUUGAGAGGAGUGUCCGAAAGAGAAGUCAAUUUCGGGAUGAUUGUUGUAACCUCUCAACUCUUUACCUUGUGCCUCCUCCUCUCCCUCCAGGUGAUUAAAGAGCUAAUUGGAUGCUUU